rnacentral:rRNA from 1 species
UACGUAGGGAGCAAGCGUUGUCCGGAAUUACUGGGUGUAAAGGGUGCGUAGGCGGCCAUGUGGGUCAGACGUGAAAUGCACGAGCUUAACUCGUGAACUGCGUUUGAAACUACAUGGCUUGAGUAAAGUAGAGGCAGGCGGAAUUUCCGGUGUAGCGGUGAAAUGCGUAGAGAUCGGAAGGAACACCAGUGGCGAAGGCGGCCUGCUGGGCUUUUACUGACGCUGAGGCACGAAAGCAUGGGUAGCAAACAGG